UUUCAGCAUCCCUUGGUGCUAUUCUUCUUGGUACUUGGGAUACAUCAGUAAAUAAAACAAAGAUUCUUCCAGCAGAGAUGACCAUAAGCUCAAUAUAUCAAUACAUUAUAGAGUGCUCUAGAAGGUAAUAAGUACUAAGGAAAAAUAAAUAGGAUAGAGUUGAGAGAAUGUGGAGAGACAGUUACAGUAUUUUUAUAGGGUGGUCAGGGUAGCUGUCAUGAGAGAGUGAGACUUAAACCAAACCUUGGAGGUGGGAAUGUUAGCCAAGCUGAUAUCUGGGAGAAGAACAUACCAGGCAGAGGGAUUAGCUAGAACUAAGGUCUCAAGAAAGGAGUGUGUCUAGCAUAGGUAAUGAGUAGUAGGGAAGCCACCGGAGUGAAAAGAACACAGGAAGUUUCACUCAUGUCUGUAUGAAGAGACCACCAAACAGGCUUUGUGUGAGCAACAAGGCUGUUUAUUUCACCUGGGUGCAGGCGGGCUGAGUCCGAAAAGAGUCAGCGAAGGGAGAUAGGGGUGGGGCCAUUUUAUAGGAUUUGGUUAGGUAGUGGAAAAUUACAGUCAAAGGGGGUUGUUCUCUGGCUGGCAGGGGUGGGGGUCACAGUGCUCAGUUGGGGAGCUUUUGAGCCAGGAUGAGCCAGGAGAAGGAAUUUUACAAGGUAAUGUCAUCAGCUAAGGCAGGAACAGGCCAUUUUCACUUCUUUUGUCAUUCUUCAGUUACUUCAGGCCAUCUGGAUUUAUACGUACAGGUUUGGGCCCAGAGGCCUGACAGGAAGGGCAGUAGGAGAGGUGGUCGUAGAUGAUGGGCCAGAGGGCGCAGGGCCUAGCAGGCCAUGGAAAGGACUCUAGGUUUUACGCUAGGUAAAAUGAGGAGGCACUGCAGGGCUUUGAGCAGCAGAGUAACACAGUCUAACUUACUUUUUUUUUUUAAUGGAUCCUACCAGCUGCUAAGUUAAGAAUAAUUUCCAGUGAGGGCUUUUGUAGUAAAUUAGAGAUGAUGCUGGUUUGUCAAUCUCCCCUUCCAGCAGAGGAAUGUGUGGGUAAGAGAGUCACAAUGUUUCUGAACAAAGCCAUAGCUCCUAAGUGGUGAAGCUGGGCCUAGAGCCCCUGUUUCCUGACAGCUGGCCUGGCGGUGGGCUCUGUACAGCAUUGAUUCCCAGCCAGCAGCACACCCUGAAAAGUCACAUAGCAGUGGGAGUGCAGAUGCUUAGACUCUCCCCAUCAGAACCACUCAGUUGGAAUCUUCAGGGUUGGGGCCAGGUCAGCAGCAGCCGCAGAAGAUACUCUGGUCUUCCUGCUUCAGCAGACAAAGGUUUCUAAGCCCAAACGUGAGGCAUGAGGAUAAAUGAAAUUGUAAAUGGAAGCAGAAAAAUGUCCAGGUCUGAGUUCCUCUGCUGUGUUUUAGUCAGUUUCAGUGCAGUAUUUUAGCUCUAAACAAUGCUUUUUAGGUCUGAGGGAACUGCUGAAGGAAAGGAGACAUUUAGAUCUGAAAUCCAAUUUUUACCAUUUUUUGAUACGUAGGCUUUUUUUUUUUUUUUUUUUUUUUGAGAUGGAGUCUCGCUCUGUUGCCAGGCUAGAAUGCAUGGCACAAUCUCAACUCACUGCAACCUCUGCCUCCUGAGUUCAAGCGAUUCUUCUGCCUGAGCCUCCCAAGUAGCUGGGAUUACAAGUGCCCACCAGUACACCUAGCUAAUUUUUGCGUUUUUAGGAGAGACAGCGUUUCACCAUGUUGGUCAGGCUAGUCUUGAACUCCUGACCUCAAGUGAUGUGCCCACCUCGGCCUCCAAAAAUGCUGGGAUUACAGGAGUGAGCCACCAUGCCUGGCCAAUCAGUGGGCUUUUUAAGAAUGUUCCCGGGCUGGGUGUGGUGGCUCACGCCUGUAAUCCCAGCACUUUGGAAGGCCGAGACAAGCAGAUCACCUGAGGUCGGGAGGUCGAGACCAGCCUGAUCAACAGAUCAACAUGGAGAAACCUUGUCUCUACUAAAAAUACAAAAUUAGCCAGGCAUGGUGGUGCAUGCCUGUAAUCCCAGCUACUCGGGAGGCUAAGGCAGGAGAAUCGCUUGAACCUGGGAGGCAGAGGUUGUGGGAGCCGAGAUCGUGCCAUUGCACUCCAGCCUGAGCAACAAGAGCGAAACUCCGUCUCAAAAAAAGAAUGUUCCU
rnacentral:lncRNA from 10 species